GGAGCCUGCGGCUUAAUUUGACUCAACACGGGGAAACUCACCAGGUCCAGACAUAACUAGGAUUGACAGAUUGAUAGCUCUUUCAUGAUUUUAUGGGUGGUGGUGCAUGGCCGUUCUUAGUUGGUGGAGUGAUUUGUCUGGUUAAUUCCGAUAACGAACGAGACCUUAACCUGCUAAAUAGCCAGGCCGGCUYUUGCUGGUCGCAGGCUUCUUAGAGGGAC
rnacentral:rRNA from 1 species